rnacentral:rRNA from 1 species
AGAGUUUGAUCCUGGCUCAGGAUGAACGCUAGCUACAGGCUUAACACAUGCAAGUCGAGGGGCAUCAUGGCGGUUGCUUGCAACCGCCGAUGGCGACCGGCGCACGGGUGAGUAACGCGUAUCCAACCUGGCCGUUGCCACGGCACAGCCCGCCGAAAGGCGGAUUAAUGCGGUAUGAGGCGCUUCGAUGGCAUCAGAAGAGCGCCAAAGCUUCGGCGGCAGCGGAUGGGGAUGCGUCCGAUUAGGCAGCAGGCGGGGCAACGGCCCACCUGGCCGACGAUCGGUAGGGGUCCUGAGAGGGAGGCCCCCCACACUGGGACUGAGACACGGCCCAGACUCCUACGGGAGGCAGCAGUGAGGAAUAUUGGUCAAUGGGCGGAAGCCUGAACCAGCCAAGUAGCGUGCGGGACGACGGCCCUAUGGGUUGUAAACCGCUUUUUCACGGGGAUAAAGUGCGCCACGUGUGGCGCUUUGCAGGUACCGUGCGAAUAAGGACCGGCUAAUUCCGUGCCAGCAGCCGCGGUAAUACGGAAGGUCCGGGCGUUAUCCGGAAUCAUUGGGUUUAAAGGGAGCGUAGGCCGCAUGUCAAGCGUGCUGUGAAAUCCCGGGGCUCAACCCCGGAAGCGCAGCGCGAACUGGCGUGCUUGAGUUGCAUCGAGGCAGGCGGAAUUCGUGGUGUAGCGGUGAAAUGCUUAGAUAUCACGAAGAACCCCGAUUGCGAAGGCAGCCUGCCAGUUGCACACUGACGCUGAUGCUCGAAGGCGCGGGUAUCGAACAGGAUUAGAUACCCUGGUAGUCCGCGCGGUAAACGAUGGAUGCCCGCCCUUGGGCCGCUACGGUUCAGGGGCCAAGCGAAAGCGUUAAGCAUCCCACCUGGGGAGUACGCCGGCAACGGUGAAACUCAAAGGAAUUGACGGGGGC